GUCCGGGUGGCGGAAUGGCAGACGCGCUAGCUUGAGGUGCUAGUGCCCGCAAGGGCAUGGGGGUUCAAGUCCCCCUCCGGACAC
rnacentral:tRNA from 5 species